GUGAGUUGGAGAAGGUUGAUGCUGUAAGAUUAAUUAAUAUAGUUUUUGAUGAAACUGGACACUUCGUGCUGUAUGGAACAAUGCUGGGCAUUAAAGUUAUAAAUGUAGAGACAAACCGGUGUGUGCGGAUUUUAGGCAAACAAGAAAAUAUUAGAGUGAUGCAAUUGGCUUUGUUCCAGGGGAUAGCCAAAAAGCAUCGUGCUGCAACUACUAUAGAGAUGAAAGCUUCUGAAAAUCCUGUUCUUCAGAAUAUUCAAGCUGACCCAACAGUAGUCUGUACAUCGUUCAAAAAGAAUAGAUUUUAUAUGUUUACCAAACGAGAACCAGAAGAUACGAAAAGUGCAGAUUCUGAUCGAGAUGUUUUUAAUGAGAAACCUUCUAAAGAAGAAGUCAUGGCAGCUACUCAAGCUGAAGGACCUAAACGAGUUUCGGACAGUGCCAUUAUCCACACCAGCAUGGGAGACAUUCACACCAAACUUUUUCCUGUUGAGUAUGUAUAACAACUGUUUUUAUUGGCUUAUGUAAUUAAGAAUGUAAAUGUGUAUAUCUGAAGAAACUAUGC
rnacentral:sRNA from 1 species